UAGAGGGAAAUGAGUGAGCAGACAAACAGGCCAAGAAAGCAGCGGGAAGAGAAAUGUGGAUAUGGAAAUAAAGUAUAGUAAAGGGGAAAUAAAGAGUAUAGUUAAAGAAAGAGCAAAAAUGAACUGUCAGGAAGAACAGGAUAGAGGAAGUAAAGGAAGAGCAUACUACAACAUACAAAGGAAUGGUUAGAAAAGAGAGAUGAUGUGUAGGUGGCGGUAAUGCGCUGUAGGACGCAAGCUGCAAUUAAAAAAAAUCAAGAAGAAGAAGCAGAAGCAUAGACACAGGAACUGACACUGACUGUUUAGUUGAAGUAACCGAAACUUCUCAACAUUUUGCGUCUUAUAUUUAACUCUUGGCUCGGUGUGUUGUUCUGUUUGUGGUUGACUGGAGAAGCAAAUUGACACCGAACUGGUAAGAAAGUAAACGUACACACCUUUCUGUGCUUUAACCGUUUAAGCAAGCUAACUAGCUUUGGUCUCUUACUACGUGUGUGUACUAAUAUAAGAGUUGUGUUGAUACAGUGGUGUAACGUGUACGGUAGAAAAAUAAAGACGUAGGUUCAUAAUAUUUUAACUGGGUUGACUAGGCCAACUGGAACAGCUGUGGUGGGAUGCAACAGCCUCCAUGAGGAUGAAGCUGCGGAGAGAGAGAUGAGGGUGAUCAUAUGUAGAAGCUAGGAGUCUAAUCACUAACUAAAACUACCAAACCCAGCAGAACAGUAAUGCAUCACACAUCUUUACAAUAUUUGUGCAAAGCCACUGACAUGGCCCCAGAUGUUAUACUGAACAUAUUUACAUGCAGACAUUUACAUACUGCAAGUUUUUCUUCUUGGUAAUACAUUACAGUCAUAAUAUUUAAGUUCAAAGGCCCAUGAUGAUCUUUAUAAAUGACCAUUUUGGUUUGCACUUUUUUUUAGAGACGCUGGUGUCCACCAGAAAUUAGCUGAGUUUUGCCCUUAACGUCGUGACCGUGGUUGUUAAACAGGGAGAAGACGCUAUCUUGCCCUGCUCCAUCAGCAGCAAGGAGAACAUUAACGUCUUUUCAAAGAUCGGUCACAAGAACGCUUAGGUGCUCCACAAAACCCUACUGUCGCGAUAGCUGACGUGACAGAGGCAGGCGUUCUGCUGCAGUGUGUGGUUCAGUGUGCGUUUCCAGAGCCGACGCUGCAGUGGAAGGAUUGUGGAGGAAACCUCCUUCCUGCUGAGGAGCCACAGGUCUCAAAGAGAAGAGGCCACUAUGACGUCAUCCUCCAAACGACUGUGACCAGGACGACGAGCAACUGUUUCUGCUGUGAAGUCAAACAGGAUGAGAUCGGCCACGUUGUUAAUAAAAACAUCACCGAAAUAGAAACUGUUCUCUGAAACUGUUCUUGUCUGUGACAAGCCCAUCAUCACGGUUCCUGGAUUCAUGGCUGGAUUUUGUGCUGGACUUCUGACUCUUGCAGUAGCUGCAGGUGUUGUUCUCUUCAUAGGCAGGAAAUAUUUCAGAGUGGUCUUGAAGAAAGAUGAUCAGCGACAGAAGAGCUGUUCUAAUUGUGGCACCUCAGAGCCUCUCGCUUCAGGACCUGUGUAAUAGAUUUACUUGUGUGUUUGUAUGUGUACGUUUUAACUUGUUAAAUGGUCAUAGACGGCAGCAGCUAAACUGAUCCACUGGCUGGAUAAUAAUAAUUGAACUUUAUUCAUCCCACAUUGGGGGAAUUAAUGUCUGGAUUUCUGCCCGGGGGGACGAGUGGGCGGCAACAGUGCGGCGCCCGGGAAGGGGGGGGGGGCUGUGAUGUGUCUUUCUCAACACGCCUGGCGCCAGGCAUCACUAGACCAGGCCUCCUGAUGCUGUCAAAUAGAGUCACAUGUCAGAGCACUUCCUAGUAUUUCAGUGAGUGAGGGAUUAUAUAAACCAGUUUGUGCAGAUAGAGGUACCGAAGACAAUCUCUAAUCAAUGAUAAUGCCCAACACCAUGCUUCUGACCUUUUUAAAUCCAGUCCUGUCUGUGUAUUUGUGUCAAACACUACACAUCAGUCUGUCCUUCCUCCCACAGUCCAAAGAUGUAGUCAAGUUACCUGGAGACUGUCUGUAGGUGUGUGUGGCCUGUUCAGGUUAAACCCCUGCCCUCUGCGUUCACAAGUAUGAAGUGGUUUUGACGUUGAUUAAGUGCCACAAAAUAAGUGUUUUUACAUCAGAUUUUACAUCAGGUUUUCUGACCGCGGCCGUUUCGCUCCUGAUGCUUAGGUUGUGGGUUUGAAUCUAGCGGCAGGAGUAGCAAGCCAGUGUCUUCUGUGCUGGUCUGAGUAGAGGGGUUGUGUCAGGAAGGGAUCAGGCUUUAAAACUUGCCAAUAACAAACAUGCGCCUCAUUCGCUGUGGCGCCCGCUGUCAGGAUAAGCAGAAAGGAGUUCUCUCUGCUAGAUUUAUGUGUAGUAACUUAUGUCCAGUUUCCCUAAGCUUUAUUUAGAAGGGUUUUAAUUUCUUGUCAUUUCUGUAUGUAUAUAUGGGGUUAUGCUGGUGCUUUGUUAACACUAAAACUACUAAAGGACGUACACCUUUACAUAUACCCUAACAAGGGCUGGGUGUUCAUUUGUCCUGCACGCUCAAGCUGGCACCCUGCCAAGAGCCGCUUUUGUUACGUAUAGAGGGCCAUCACUAACGCACUCUAGGUGGUGGGUUGCGUGGGCUUGCUGACCCUGCUCCUGCCUGCAAGGCUGCACAGUUCCUAUGAGUCUAUGAGUGACAUCCACUGUUACAAUGUUCCACCGCUAUGUGCUUAGAUUUACAACGUGAAAGGACGAGUGUCAUUGUUGCGGUCUCACCGAAGGAAGCAAUAAGAUAUCAUCAUCAAUAAUACAAUAAGACAGUUUUGCUGCUUUGCUUAUUUACAAAAAAAAACUAAAUAAAGUUCACGCAUGAUUGCACUGUAACGUCACCAAAAAUGACAAAAAAACGUAACGUAAAAAACGGGACGUGGAUGGCCACGCCCACUUUCAUUCAACAGACAAAAGUGGGCGGACGGACAUGAAAGAGGGAAUAACGAAAUAAACAGCUGGUUAACUUUGUAGGAACAUGGCUGUAGCUCUGCAAUGACUUAUUAUGUGGUACAGGUGAAAGCAGUAAUAACGAAAUAAACGGAAUAUAAAACGGAAACGCUUUCAAGCGUUUUUUGGUUUAUAAUAUAUUUUUAAUUACACAUAUGUUAAAACUAGAUGGGUGAGCGGUGUACUGACGUCGUUUCUGUAAUUUUUGGUAACGCUACGGUGCAAUCAUGUGUGAACUUUAUUUAGUUUUUUGUAAAUAAGCGAAGCAGCAUAGCUGUCUUAUUGUAUUGUUGAUGAUGAUAUCUUAUUGCUUCCUUCGGUGAGACCGCAACAAUGACACUCGUCCUUUCACGUUGUAAAUCCAAGCACAUAGCGGUUGAACAUUGUAACAGUGGAUGUCACUCUUAGACUCAUAGGAACUGUGCAGCCUUGCAGACAGGAGCAGGGUCAGCAAGCCCACGCAACCCACCACCUAGAGUGCGUCAGUGAUGGCCCUCUUUACCUAACAAAGGCAGCUGUUCACAGAUGAUUCAGGGUCUCAGCUAGCCGAGCAGAUCAUUUGACCACCUUCUAGUGGGAAUGAGUAUAUUUAGAAAACCCAGUAGUCCUAUUAAUAGCUGUCAGUCUGAUGUUUGAUAUUUUGUAGUAAAGAAAAUACUGUACUGUAAAUACUGUAAUAUAUUUUAUAAAAGCUAUUUUCUCAUUGCUCCUUUUUUUAAAAAAAAUCUAUUUUGAAUUACUGAAUGUUUUUUACUUGUGUAUGAUAUGUGUAAUGUAUUGCAUUAAACAAUGCCUUUAAGCCUAAACCUGUAGCUCAAACUUGACUGUUCCUCUUAUGUCGUAACUCUAAUACUUUUUUUUUUAAAGCCAUUCUCUUUAUUUAUUCAUUCACGGCCAUCCGUUUCUGUAAAAUCUGUUUCUUGUUUAAAAGGAGACUGUAGUUGGUCAGUAUUUAAUGUAAUGAGUCAACAUCCACAUUCCAGGACAACCUGAACAAUAAUGACCCAAAUCCAUUCACCUGUUUUCAGCAACCCCUCACAUUAUGAUCUGUGUUGUCUGUUGGAUGUUUUUCUGUAUUUUUGUUGCUGGUUCCAUUGUUUUCUGUCUGUGUUGAGAACAAACAUAAGGUAAAACACUUUUCCUCUCUGGUUAAUAGCAUUUUUGAAUCUUGAAUGAAUAUGGGGAUUGUUUGAUUUGUUCUUUCUGCUCCGUGAUGUUAUUGUAAAAAGUGUGAGACACAAUAUAUGAAAUCUGCAAACAUGAACAGUGCACAUUUUUCUCUGUGGUUGAUUCAAAAUCAGCUGUAGAUCAAUUUAUGUCUCAGCAAUAAAAGCAAAAUGUACUGAACAUAUCAAAUAUAUUACUGAUAACAACAACACUUUAAGAGAAAGAAGAAUAAAAAAACAAAUGUGAAACAUG